GACGAACGCUGGCGGCGUGCCUAAUACAUGCAAGUAGAACGCUGAAGAGAGGAGCUUGCUCUUCUUGGAUGAGUUGCGAACGGGUGAGUAACGCGUAGGUAACCUGCCUUGUAGCGGGGGAUAACUAUUGGAAACGAUAGCUAAUACCGCAUAACAAUGGAUGACACAUGUCAUUUAUUUGAAAGGGGCAAUUGCUCCACUACAAGAUGGACCUGCGUUGUAUUAGCUAGUAGGUGAGGUAACGGCUCACCUAGGCGACGAUACAUAGCCGACCUGAGAGGGUGAUCGGCCACACUGGGACUGAGACACGGCCCAGACUCCUACGGGAGGCAGCAGUAGGGAAUCUUCGGCAAUGGGGGCAACCCUGACCGAGCAACGCCGCGUGAGUGAAGAGGGUUUUCGGAUCGUAAAGCUCUGUUGUAAGUCAAGAACGAGUGUGAGAGUGGAAAGUUCACACUGUGACGGUAGCUUACCAGAAAGGGACGGCUAACUACGUGCCAGCAGCCGCGGUAAUACGUAGGUCCCGAGCGUUGUCCGGAUUUAUUGGGCGUAAAGCGAGCGCAGGCGGUUUGAUAAGUCUGAAGUUAAAGGCUGUGGCUCAACCAUAGUUCGCUUUGGAAACUGUCAAACUUGAGUGCAGAAGGGGAGAGUGGAAUUCCAUGUGUAGCGGUGAAAUGCGUAGAUAUAUGGAGGAACACCGGUGGCGAAAGCGGCUCUCUGGUCUGUAACUGACGCUGAGGCUCGAAAGCGUGGGGAGCGAACAGGAUUAGAUACCCUGGUAGUCCACGCCGUAAACGAUGAGUGCUAGGUGUUGGAUCCUUUCCGGGAUUCAGUGCCGCAGCUAACGCAUUAAGCACUCCGCCUGGGGAGUACGACCGCAAGGUUGAAACUCAAAGGAAUUGACGGGGGCCCGCACAAGCGGUGGAGCAUGUGGUUUAAUUCGAAGCAACGCGAAGAACCUUACCAGGUCUUGACAUCCCGAUGCUAUUUCUAGAGAUAGAAAGUUACUUCGGUACAUCGGUGACAGGUGGUGCAUGGUUGUCGUCAGCUCGUGUCGUGAGAUGUUGGGUUAAGUCCCGCAACGAGCGCAACCCCUAUUGUUAGUUGCCAUCAUUCAGUUGGGCACUCUAGCGAGACUGCCGGUAAUAAACCGGAGGAAGGUGGGGAUGACGUCAAAUCAUCAUGCCCCUUAUGACCUGGGCUACACACGUGCUACAAUGGUUGGUACAACGAGUUGCGAGUCGGUGACGGCAAGCUAAUCUCUUAAAGCCAAUCUCAGUUCGGAUUGUAGGCUGCAACUCGCCUACAUGAAGUCGGAAUCGCUAGUAAUCGCGGAUCAGCACGCCGCGGUGAAUACGUUCCCGGGCCU
rnacentral:rRNA from 1 species